UUAAACUUAAUAUAAAGUUAUUUAUAUAACCAUUUUGUAAAUGGCUCGAAAAAUUAGAGGUUAGCUGAGCCAGCUAAAUAUCAUCACCUAAAUACAGUAGGCCUCUUGCCUCUUGCUGCACCAGUAGUAGUAGCUGCUAACCUAUAGGUCGAACUACUGGUUGUUCUUCUCGAGGGCAAAUUUGGGCGAUAAACACCACAAAAAUGAAGUUGUUGUAUGUCUCCACCUGUCGUCUUCUCCCAUGCGAAUUAUCCUGUAGAAAAGAAAUAAUGAUGGCUGAAAAGAAGACGGAGCGCACGAUCAUUAAGUUAUUGAUUUUUCUCUGGUCAAAGCGUAUACCUACUUGAUUCAGUUAAAAUGCAGGGGCACAUUAAUUGAAGUUUGAUUUUCUUUUGUGGAACAAUGUAGAGCAAUGUUAAAGGAUACAUUUAUAAACAAAUUUAUAAACAACAAUCGUUGCAUGUAGUAAAAGAAAAACCUCAAAUGAUGAUUUAUAUUUAUAGCGUAUUCCAAAACGUAUUUAUUUACUUUACUAAAAGAUAUAUAUUUAAUUUUUAAUUGUUUUCAAUUUUUUUAAUCUUUUUAUUAUUAUAUUCUCCACAGGAAUAAUUUGAAGACCGCUCCAUCUAGCUCCCUCCACAGCCAGACACAGCAACGAUCCUCCAGCUCCAUUCAGGCCGUGAAGGUGGACAGCUUUCUCUGAGCUGCUUUGGCCGUUUGCUGUUUGCUCAGCCUCCUGUUCCUCUCACGGAUUUCCCCCCCGAGCCUGCACAUCACACAUUUUUUUAUUGCUAUUGUCUCCAAUAGAAUUGCAUGCUCAGGGUGUGAGCUGAAGAGGCUUUUGAACACCCCCAGACUGCCCAGAGCCCUCUCCAUUUUUUUGGUGAUCUGGGUGAGAGGCCAGAAAGCGUCGAUGUUCCGUCCAAAUUCCCCCUCCAAAAGCUGGAUGGCAGCGAAAAACCCUUCCGAAGGCCUCAUUAGGUUUGCCGUUUCCGUGUAUUUUUUUGCCUCCAGGAAGGGGUGGUCCUCACUUGUGGCGUAGCUGUGGUCCUGAUGUCUGGCACCCAACAACAGCACCUCACAGUGUGGACAGGCCUGAACAAUUUCCUCCUUUUGUAGGACCCGGACAAGCCAGCCAGCAACGUAGAACAGGCCCUCCUCCUGGAUGCAAUCGCCAACAGUCUACAAGGUGGUAGGGAGGGCCAUUGAGGUCAUUGGAGCUGUUGAGGUGGAGGGGAUUGCGUCCUCUGACAUACUGGCUAGGAGGGUUGUCCCGUCAUCCAGCUCGCAGUUUGAUGCAGUCGAUGCAGAAAGAGCAGGAGAAAGAAAUGGCUGACUGACCUGAACUGCCAGCUUGCCACCCAGCUGAUGCAUUCCCUCAGGAAGUUCUCCUUCUCCUGGUUUCCGGAGCCUAGGGGUCGUCGCCAGGGGUUAGAAUCCUUGACUGAUCUGUUGUUCCUGAUUGAUUUCAGAAGGUGAGGGACAUCAAAAAUCACAGGAACCCUCUGAACCCCCACCAGGAUACAGUGGGAUUCCUCACCUCCCAGAGGGUCCAGGCUAGCCCCAAGGUUCCGCACAGCCUUCACAUUAGGGCUUCCCUGGUCACAUAUUACUGCCUGCACCUUUGAAAUUGGUUAAUACAUUGUUGUCAAUGCAAGCCCUAUAUGAUGUAGGUGGCGAAUGGCAUCCUUAAUGACGGUAGCAAUAUCAUCUGCUGGCAUUGAAGAUGGGGAAAAGAAGUAACCAACCGUCUGUUGAAAGAAAUGCCUUAGGACGAGUGUACACAUCCUCUCCACAGGGGUCAUGGUGGCGGCGAUGACUCCCAUUUGGGAGAUGAUUCCCUGUAGGAAGCCAGGCUGUCAGGAAAUAAAAGUUGUGCCCUAAUGAAGUUCCGGCAGCCCUCAGGACACCUCUGGAGCAUCUCCUCCAUAAUUUCAUGGGGACUACGAAAGAACAAGAGGUGGGGAGGCAAGUGGUGGCGGGUUGUCGCAAUCCACCAGUGUGGGGAUGGCAUCUCUGUUGGAUCUUGAUGCUGUGGCAACGGACAAGUCUUCUUCCUCUUUUAUUAUAUUGUUGUUCCUCUGUCCUUUUUUCCCUGCCUAUGUUCAGUGUUCAGUUCUCUUUUUUUUUUUUUUAUUAUUUACUAUGUUACUGUUCUUAUUGUGUUCUUGUGUGAUGUUUGAAUAAACUUGCCUGCAAUGUUGGUAUGUUUGUAUAAUUACUGUUAUACAACUGUUACUGUUUCAACGUGUCCUAGACCAUACUUCUCAUUCAACAAACAUGUGUAGCUUAUAAUGUGUUGCAGGGCAGAGCAAUUAUAUUCAAUGGCUUAAAACAAACCCAUCUGUAAAGAUCACUGAAUGCAUAGAAAUCAAUCAAUCAAAGUGGUGUAGAUGGUUUUCCCUCUGUGCAAGGUCAUUAGCCCAAUGCCUACAAAAAAAAUAACUGCAGUAAUAGCAGAUUUUGAAGUUGUUAAAUCGUUAACAAACGAUUUGUAUGGGACAAUCGUUUAAUGUAAUUUAAGUGCUUGAGUCUCGACACUUAAGAGAAUGUCUAGCGUGCAACUUGAAUAAGCCAUGUGCGAUUUUACCCGGGCUCCAGCGCAACUUUCCCUACCAGGUGCAGCCUCAGGAAGCCUAGGACCAUUCAUACAGGAGCAAGCAAGAACGUUACCUUUUUCUUUCCUUGGGAAACGAAAAGAAGGACAAUCCCUUUCCACUGUUGGAGCAGUUUAUCAUUGCACAUUUUCUAGGCAU